AUGGCUCAGGAUGAACGCUGGCGGCGUGCUUAACACAUGCAAGUCGAACGGAACUUAUCGCUGAAGCGAUUUCGGUCAAAUCAUGAUAGGUUUAGUGGCGGACGGGUGAGUAACGCGUGGGUAACCUGCCUUACGACAGGGGGACAACAGUUGGAAACGGCUGCUAAUACCGCAUAAGCGCACAGUACCGCAUGGUACAGUGUGAAAAACUCCGGUGGUGUAAAGAUGGACCCGCGUCUGAUUAGCUAGUUGGUGAGGUAACGGCCACCAAGGCGACGAUCAGGUAGCCGGCCUGAGAGGGUGAACGGCCACAUUGGGACUGAGACACGGCCCAAACUCCUACGGGAGGCAGCAGUGGGGAAUAUUGGACAAUGGGGGAAACCCUGAUCCAAGCGACGCCGCGUGAGUGAAGAAGUAUUUCGGUAUGUAAAGCUCUAUCAGCAAGGAAGAAAAUGACGGUACUUGACUAAGAAGCCCCGGCUAACUACGUGCCAGCAGCUGC
rnacentral:rRNA from 1 species